CCAUAACCAGCAUUAGUCCAAUGCAGGACCGAACAAAUAUCUCAGGUACUAUACUCUUAAAUAUUUCCGAAUACUUUAAUGUUUUACGGAGACUGGUUUUGAAUUUUCUUGGUGGAAAAGCUAAGCCAUUUUGUAUAACCAGCAAACUUUGCUUAUCUAUGGAUAUUUUUCUACUCCUCCGGAUUGGCUGAGAAAACAUUUUAUUUCUGUGCAUUUGCUCAAUGUAGCAUAAAGGAGAGCAACUUCCAGAGUUGUCAUUGCCACUUCUUUUCAGACACAAUACAGGAU
rnacentral:lncRNA from 1 species